UGGGGAAUAUUGCACAAUGGGCGCAAGCCUGAUGCAGCCAUGCCGCGUGUGUGAAGAAGGCCUUCGGGUUGUAAAGCACUUUCAGCGAGGAGGAAGGUGGUGAGCUUAAUACGCUCAUCAAUUGACGUUACUCGCAGAAGAAGCACCGGCUAACUCCGUGCCAGCAGCCGCGGUAAUACGGAGGGUGCAAGCGUUAAUCGGAAUUACUGGGCGUAAAGCGCACGCAGGCGGUUUGUUAAGUCAGAUGUGAAAUCCCCGGGCUCAACCUGGGAACUGCAUUUGAAACUGGCAAGCUAGAGUCUCGUAGAGGGGGGUAGAAUUCCAGGUGUAGCGGUGAAAUGCGUAGAGAUCUGGAGGAAUACCGGUGGCGAAGGCGGCCCCCUGGACGAAGACUGACGCUCAGGUGCGAAAGCGUGGGGCAGCAAACAGGAUUAGAUACCCUGGUAGUCCAGCGCUGUAAAACGAUGUCGAUUUGGAGGUUGUGCCCUUGAGGCGUGGCUUCCGGAGCUAACGCGUUAAAUCGACCGCCUGGGGAGUACGGCCGCAAGGUUAAAAACUCAAAUGAAUUGACGGGGUCAUAGCUGUUUCCU
rnacentral:rRNA from 1 species